UACGAAGGGGGCUAGCGUUGCUCGGAAUUACUGGACGUAAAGGGCGCGUAGGCGGACAGUUUAGUCAGAGGUGAAAGCCCAGGGCUCAACCUUGGAAUUGCCUUUGAUACUGGCUGUCUUGAGUUCGGGAGAGGUGAGUGGAAUGCCGAGUGUAGAGGUGAAAUUCGUAGAUAUUCGGCGGAACACCAGUGGCGAAGGCGACUCACUGGCCCGAUACUGACGCUGAGGCGCGAAAGCGUGGGGAGCAAACAGG
rnacentral:rRNA from 1 species